rnacentral:pre_miRNA from 1 species
ACAACAUUCGGACGGUCUACCGAGCAAUAUUACCCGCUCGGUGGAAGAUCUUUCCUCCGUCGU